rnacentral:lncRNA from 1 species
AGGGGAUGUUGAGAAAAAUGAGUAGUUAAUCGCGGAUGUCUUGCUGAGAUGAUGUAUAGAUGGCCUCGGGGCUCUUGACUCCUUGGAACACAAAGUAGACCAAUUUUAGCCCAAUUAAACAGUGGGGAAGCGCUCAAAGUAUCUGUAUCCGACUGUUGAGAAGUCAUUGAAAAGGCACAAUGGAAUUACUCCACACCAAAACUUUGGGAAUACACGAUCCUGGCAUGCCUGGUUCUGGAGAAGGCCAACUGUUAUUCCCAGUGGGGUUAUCAGACAAAGCACUUCAUGAACUGUGCAGCCACUGGCCUCAGACCAGCUGAAACUGCUUAGCCCCAGUCGUAAAGCAAAAGGUCUCUUCAAGCGAUCCAUAAGUGCUCCUAUCCCCAAGAGUGGAGGCCGCGGUCUGUUCAAGCCACGCAGGAAAGCUUGAAGGAAAACAGCAUGGCAGACAAGUCAGAAGAUCAAAGACCCCCUCAGACGACAGACCCCGUCUCCAGACAUCCAAUCUCUUCCCCUUCAUGGUUCUAAUUAGCAGAUGGUGGAGAAAUGGCUCAUAUUAUGGUUUUAUCAAUUAGAGAGAGACGUUCAUAUCUUUCUUUUUCUUGCUGUCGGCUCAUGAGCAUGGCAUAGAUAGAUGAACUGAGAGAAGGAAAGAGAACCGCUGCUUCAUUUAAUCUGAACAAAUUAGUUCACCAUGGAAAAGGAACAUUUUGGUAUUUUCUUUUCUGAUGACUUUCAGUCUACAAAUGUG